rnacentral:rRNA from 1 species
UACAGAGGGUGCAAGCGUUGCUCGGAAUUAUUGGGCGUAAAGGGCAGGUAGGUUGUCCUAUUUGUCUGGGGUGAAAUCCCUGAGCUUAACUCAGGAAGUGCCCCAGAAACGGUAGGACUAGAGUCUUAGAGAGGUUCGUGGAAUUCCCAGUGUAGCGGUGAAAUGCGUAGAGAUUGGGAGGAACACCAGAGGCGAAGGCGGCGAACUGGAGUAAGCACUGACACUCAACUGCGAAAGCGUGGGGAGCAAACAGG